CAGCCGCCGCGGGAAAACGAAGGGGGCUAGCGUUGCUCGGAAUGACUGGGCGUAAAGGGCGCGUAGGCGGUUUCUUAAGUCUGAUGUGAAAGCCCCCGGCUCAACCGGGGAGGGUCAUUGGAAACUGGGAAACUUGAGUGCAGAGGAGGAGAGUGGAAUUCCACGUGUAGCGGUGAAAUGCGUAGAGAUGUGGAGGAACACCAGUGGCGAAGGCGACUCUCUGGUCUGUAACUGACGCUGAGGAGCGAAAGCGUGGGGAGCAAACAGGAUUAGAUACCCGCGUAGUCCCUGUCUCUUAUAC
rnacentral:rRNA from 1 species